UUCAGCUAUUUCUGUUAGUGUCUAGUAAACCUUUCUGUGGCCUGUUUAGACUUUUCCUUGCUUUAUAGGUGUGUGUCAGGGCCGAAGACAUCCUGGCCGAAGACACUCUUUGAAAGGCUGAGGAGGCAGGAGGAGAUUAACGUAAUUGUUCUCAGAAAUGUGGCCAAAGCCCAGGAGAGGACGAGGAAGCGAAAACUAGCAGAAGGGGACCAUGUCGUUUUUUAAGGUCGGCGACAAGGUCCUGCGGAGGAAAGGAGGCAAACUGGAGAGGGACAACCUGGGCCCAUACACGGUCACAAACAUUGAGGGGAAGAGUGUUGACAUCAGGAAGGGUAGGGAUGGACAGCUCUUCCCCAAGAUAAACCUGGACCACCUCCUCCCCCUCCGUCCCACCUGUUUCCUCGGGACCUCCUCCCCCUCCGGCCCUCCUGUCUCCUACUUCUGUGUAUAUUGUUUGAAAAGGUUAUGUAACCAAAAGAGCAGAAGGUGACCUACCUAAACUCUAUGCAUGGGGGGAGCAGAGGGAAAGCAAAGCCAAAACUAACAGUUAAUGGAAAUGCCAGGCUGCAAAGUCCCUAGGUGGAAAGCCUUCAAGGUCCCACACCCCUAUCAGCUGGAUUACCGUUCAUGUGGAGUGUUUAUGUGCAAAAACAUCAACAGACUGUGCAGAGUUUGUGGAAAAAUAACCACACCUGAUGGAACAACAGAAACUUUAUGGCUGCCACCGAUGGUUCCACAUUGCAUGUGUGGAUUGGCAUUCAGUGUCCCAUUCUCUAUGUUUUGUAGGUCAGCGUGAGCCG